rnacentral:tRNA from 1 species
GUUAAUGUAGCUUAACUAAAGCAAAGCACUGAAAACGCUUAGAUGGAUAUUCUAAUCCCAUAAA